rnacentral:rRNA from 1 species
GACGAACGCUGGCGGCGUGCUUAACACAUGCAAGUCGAGCGGAGCGGCGAACGGGUGAGUAACGCGUGAGUAACUGCCCCCCUCUCUGGGAUAACAGUUGGAAACGGCUGCUAAUACCGGAUAGUGGGGGAUGACUCGCGUCCUAUCAGCUUGUUGGUGGGGUGGUGGCCUACCAAGGCGACGACGGGUAGCCGGCCUGAGAGGGCGACCGGCCACAUUGGGCUGAGAGACGGCCCGAACUCCUACGGGAGGCAGCAGUGGGGAAUAUUGCACAAUGGGGGAAACCCUGAUGCAGCAACGCGCGUGCGGGAUGACGGCCUUCGGGUUGUAAACCGCUUUCGCUAGGGACGCGGUACCUGGAGAAGAAGCACCGGCUAACUACGUGCCAGCAGCCGCGGUAAUUC